GAAGUCGCCCAGACCAUUGGGCAAGCCUAAAUACUAACUAGUGACCGAUAGCGUAUAGUACCGUGAGGGAAAGGUGAAAAGAACCCAGGGAUGGGAGUGAAAUAGAUUCUGAAACCAUAUGCCUACAACGUGUCAGAGCACAUUAAUGUGUGAUGGCGUGCGUUUUGAAGUAUGAGCCGGCGAGUUAUGAUAGCAAGCAGGUUAACCUUUAGAAGGGAAGCCGAAGCGAAAGCGAGUUUGAAUAGAGCGAAUUAAAGUGUUUGUUAUUAUAGACCCGAAACGGGUUGAGCUAGUCAUGGGCAGGUUGAAGUUAGAGUAACAUCUAAUGGAGGACCGAACCGACUUUCGUUGAAACGACAGCGGAUGACCUGUGACUAGGGGUGAAAUUCCAAUCGAAAUCCGUGAUAGCUGGUUCUCGUCGAAAUAGUUUUAAGACUAGCGUAAGAUCAUGAUCAACUGGAGGUAGAGCUACUGAAUGUAUGAUGGCGCCGCCUUGGUGUACUGAAUACAAUUAAACUCCGAAUGCUAAUUGAUUUAUUCUUGCAGUCAGACAGUGGGGGAUAAGCUUCAUUGUCACAAGGGGAAGAGCCCAGAUCAUUAAAUAAGGUCCCUAAAAUAUGCUAAGUGGAAAAGGUUGUUAAAAUACUUAAACAGCAAGGAUGUUGGCUUAGAAGCAGCCAUCGUUUAAAGAGUGCGUAACAGCUCACUUGUCGAGUGUUUUUGCGCCGAAGAUGUAACGGGGCUAAGCAUAUUACCGAAUUUAUGGAUUAUUAUUCGUAAGAAUGAUAGUGGUAGACGAGCGUUGUAUAUGGGAUUAAGUCAAACCGUGAGGAUUGGUGGACUGUAUACAAGUGAGAAUGCCGGUGUAAGUAACGCUUGAGAGUGAGAAUCUCUCAAACCGAUUGACUAAGGUUUCCUGGACGAGGGUCGUCCUUCCAGGGUUAGUCUGGACCUAAGGCGAGGCAGAAAUGCGUAGUCGAUGGAAGAACAGGUUAAUAUUCCUGUACAAACAAAUAGCUGAUGGAGUGACGGAGAAGGUUAAUGCAUCCCCAUUAUCGGAUUUGGGGUUAAAUAAGAAGUCUUAAGGGUUGGCAAAUCCGCCCUUUUUAAGGACAACUUAUGAAUACGAGUGAACGCUUUGCAAGUAGCGAAGAUGCAUACAUCACGCUUCCAAGAAAAGCUUCUAGGGUUAACUAUUUGUUUCCAGUACCGAGAACGAACACACGUGGUCAAGGAGAAGAUCCUAAGGUUAGCGAGUGAACUAUAGCUAAGGAACUCUGCAAAUUCAUCCCGUAAGUUCGCAAGAAGGGAUGCUCAAU
rnacentral:rRNA from 1 species